AGAGUUUGAUCCUGGCUCAGGACGAACGCUGGCGGCAUGCCUAACACAUGCAAGUCGAACGAGAAAGUUCCUUCGGGAGCAAUUAAAGUGGCGCACGGGUGAGUAACGCGUAGACAAUCUGCCCUUCAGUCUGGGACAACUUUUCGAAAGGAGAGCUAAUACCGGAUAACAAUGCAUGACACAAGUUGUAUAUUUGAAAGCUUUAUGUGCUGAAGGAGGGGUCUGCGUCCCAUUAGCUAGUUGGUAGGGUAAAGGCUUACCAAGGCGACGAUGGUUAGCUGGUCUGAGAGGAUGAUCAGCCACACUGGAACUGGAACACGGUCCAGACUCCUACGGGAGGCAGCAGUGAGGAAUUUUGCGCAAUGGGCGAAAGCCUGACGCAGCAACGCCGCGUGAGUGAUGAAGGCCUUUGGGUCGUAAAGCUCUGUCAAUGGGAAAGAUAUUGACGGUACCCAUGAAGGAAGCACCGGCUAACUCCGUGCCAGCAGCCGCGGUAAUACGGGGGGUGCAAGCGUUAUUCGGAAUUAUUGGGCGUAAAGGGCGCGCAGGCGGUCUUGUCGGUCAGAUGUGAAAGCCCAGGGCUCAACCCCGGAGGGUCUUUCGAAACUGCUAAUCUAGAGAGGGUCAGGGGCCGGCAGAAUUCCAGGUGUAGCGGUGAAAUGCGUAGAUAUCAGGAGGAAUACCGGUGGCGAAAGCGGCUGGCUGGGGCCACUCUGACGCUGAGGCGCGAAAGCGUGGGGAGCAAACAGGAUUAGAUACCCUGGUAGUCCACGCUGUAAACGAUGAAUACUAGAUGUUCGGGAGGUUCGACCCUUCUGAGUGUCGCAGCUAACGCAUUAAGUAUUCCGCCUGGGGAGUACGGUCGCAAGACUAAAACUCAAAGGAAUUGACGGGGGCCCGCACAAGCGGUGGAACAUGUGGUUUAAUUCGAUGAUACGCGAGGAACCUUACCAAGGCUUAAAUGUAAAACGACCGAUUGAGAAAUCAAUUUUUUUUCGAACGAUUUACAAGGUGCUGCAUGGUUGUCGUCAGCUCGUGCCGUGAGGUGUCGGGUUAAGUCCCAUAACGAGCGCAACCCCUAUUUUUAGUUACCAGCGAGUAAUGUCGGGAACUCUAAAGAAACUGCCCGUGUAAACGGUGAGGAAGGUGGGGAUGACGUCAAAUCAUCACGGCCCUUAUGUCUUGGGCUACACACGUGCUACAAUGGUUAUUACAAUGAGAGGCAAACUGGUGACAGUAAGCUAAUCUAUAAAAAUAACCUCAGUUCGGAUCGGAGUCUGCAACUCGACUCUGUGAAGUUGGAAUCGCUAGUAAUCGCACAUCAGCCAUGGUGCGGUGAAUACGUUCCCGGGCCUUGUACACACCGCCCGUCAAGCCAUGGAAGUUUGGAGUACUUAAAGUCAGUCACUGAAAAGAACUGCCUAGGGUAAAACAAGUAACUAGGGCUAAGUCGUAACAAGGUAACC
rnacentral:rRNA from 1 species